UUUAAACGCUGCGACUGUUGGAGACCGGUAAACGGCGGUGUUGGAGCGCGGGACGGCUGGGUUGCAGGAAAAAAGCCGUUACCGAGGCCUCCCGGCCGUCACUCGGCGCCCGUGCGGAGCCGCUUGCUGCCGGGGCCGCGUUCCCCGCCGGGCCGGGACUCCGCGAUGCGGCCGCGGCGCACGAAGUGCUGGACGCGCUCCUCGAGCCCCUCGCACCGCGGCCGCGACAGCAACGGUUUGUAGGCUGAACAAGCCCAACUCUCUCAGCCUGUCCUCAUAUGGAAGGUGCUCCAGCCCUCGGAUCAACUUUGUAGCCCUCCUAUGGACCUGUUCCAACAGCUCCAUCUUGCUUGUAUUGCCACAACCCCAUCCUUACUCUUUCCGUCAGCCAUGGGAGCAGCCUCCAGCCCUUGUAACAUGCUACGCAGCACUUGAGUCUUGACAGCGUGGUUGGCCCAGAGCCGCUGGAGGUGCGUAACGUUGAACUUGUG